AUGGAGGCGGCGAUGGAUCUGAUGCGGCGGAUGCCGCCGGGGAGCACCGAGACGGCGCUCAACGCGCUGCUCUCCCUCCUCCCCGACCACUCCCUCGACCUCCUCUCCCAGGUCGAUCUCCCGCUCCAGGUUUGCAUGGAUAAGGAGAACAAUAAGGAAUACAUUCUUUGCGAGUAUAACCGCGACGCUGAUUCCUAUCGAUCACCUUGGUCAAACAUAUAUGAGCCUCCUUUAGAAGAUGGGACAGUUCCCUCAGAAGAGAUGAGGAAUCUUGAAGUCGAGGCAAAUGAGGUUUUCUCUGUCUACCGUGAUCAGUACUAUGAAGGUGGGAUCUCAUCUGUGUACAUUUGGGAGGAUGAAGACGAGAGUUUCAUUGCAUGCUUCUUAAUAAAGAAAGAUGGACAAGGGAAAAGAGGUUAUAUGCAAAUAGGUUCGUGGGAUGCUAUUCAUGUUAUCCAGGUUGGUCCUGAAGAGGAAGGAGCAGCACAUUACUGCUUGAACAGCACUGUUAUGCUGUCAUUGACAACAGAUAACAAGCAAUCGGGAACUUUCAACUUGUCCGGAUCAAUUAGGCGGCAGAUGAGCAUGACUCUCGCUGUGGCAGAUGGGCAUCUGGUUAACAUGGGGAAAAUGAUAGAAGAGAUGGAGGGCAAGCUGAGAAAUUCACUGGACCAGGUCUAUUUUGGGAAAACCAGGGAAAUGGUUUGCACUCUUAGGCCACCGCCUGAAGUACUUAACAUGAGACUACCCGACAGCUGA
rnacentral:rRNA from 1 species